GAGCAAAGAAAAGAACUAGCUAGUUUCUGCACGAUUCUUCUUCGCUGAGGUUUGUGUGUGUGCUUCCUUCCGACGGCGGCUUCGCGUCCUCCGAUCAGAGCAGAUCCAACAGGUCGGCGAUGCAGCGGCGUGGCAGACCUCCCGUCCUGCGGGAGUCGUUGCUGACGAGGGCGGUGAGCUCGGUGUUCGCCUUCGUCCAUCUCGCUGAGUUUGAGAUCCUCUUCUUCCUCUUCUUCUUCGUCGCUUUCAUCAUAUUCAAAGAUCUGACAUCACGACCUGAGUACAAUCAGAUCUUUGUAAAGAAGCCUGGUGGUGAAGACUUUUGGCCUUUUUAGGAGAAAUCUGCUUCUCAAGACCUUAGAGAAUUGGGCCAUGAAUCAGAAGUAGUAAUAUUUUCCCUGGUGUUUUCAUCACAGGUGAUGCUUUCUCCUGUAUGUGAAUCUUGCUAUAACAAUAAUGGUGCAUUUCACAUGUCCUGGUGAGUAUUAUUUUCUCUGGAAACGAAAGUAGUACUUAUGUUAUUAGAGACCUAUGCUUCUUUCCUUCUUUUUUUUGUAUGGAGUUACGUGGUAGACUGUAGGUGUAUCUUAGUGACUCCAGUUCAAUCUGGAAAUCGUCCAUUACACAACAUUUGACAGGAAAAUGGAAAGUGUCACUUUACAUAGUAGUUUUCCUUUA